rnacentral:misc_RNA from 1 species
AAAGUCGUAACAAGGUCUCCGUAGGUGAACCUGCGGAGGGAUCAUUACCGAGCGAGGGCGAAAGCCCGACCUCCAACCCUCUGUGAACCAACUCUGUUGCUUCGGGGGCGACCCCGCCGUUUCGGCGACGGCGCCCCCGGAGGUCAUCAAACACUGCAUCCCUGCGUCGGAGCAAUAAAGUAAAUUGGAAUAAAACUUUCAACAACGGAUCUCUUGGUUCUG